rnacentral:rRNA from 3 species
CAUACCUAUUCGAAGGGAUAGGGUCGGCUCGGCCGGAUUUUACACAAGUGUUGCAUGGCUGUCGUCAGCUCGUGUCGUGAGAUGUUGGGUUAAGUCCCGCAACGAGCGCAACCCUCAUCCUUAGUUGCCAUCAGGUAAUGCUGAGUACUUUAAGGAAACUGCCAGUGAUAAGCUGGAGGAAGGUGGGGAUGAUGUCAAGUCAUCAUGGCCUUUAUGGAGUGGGCUACACACGUGCUACAAUGGUGUCUACAAUGGGUUGCAAGGUGCGCAAGCCUAAGCUAAUCCCUAAAAGACAUCUCAGUUCGGAUUGUACUCUGCAACUCGAGUACAUGAAGUUGGAAUCGCUAGUAAUCGUGGAUCAGCAUGCCACGGUGAAUACGUUCUCGGGUCUUGUACACACUGCCCGUCACGCCAUGGGAAUUGGUUUCACUCGAAGCU